AUGCAGCUGGACGAUGCGUGUUGCAGGAUCACAGAUAGUGCAGGCAUUGGUGUUAAUCUGUUUCUACUUUCUGUAUGGAGCUGGGAGCGUCUGCCUGUUGGACGCCAAAAGAGCGUCAGGUUUGAUCCUUGGUAUGAAGAUGAACAUGACGAAUUAUGGCGCCCCACUUGGGCUUACAAGUGGGAUGUGGUUUCCGAGAUGACGAACGAUGUCAAUAUCAUGUAA
rnacentral:rRNA from 1 species